GUGAGCAUUGUUGAACGAGGAUAAUAAUAAAAGAAAAAUCUGGGCUUUAAUCAAAACGCCGGUGGCCACAUAAAACGACGUGGAUCGGUGCCAUACGAUACGUAUGACCUUUGACGCAUCCAUAUUGAACCUUCCACAGCAAGGUUGAAGGUUGUGAAGGAAUGGAAGUGUCUUGAAACAGUACAGAGACUGAGAUUCCCACUCUAGUUUCGCCAUGAUUGCGUGCUAUUGCUCUCUGGUUCAACUCUCUUCUCCUAUUCACGGGCGAUGUUUACCGAGGAGUCCAAACCCUGGCAAACCGAGUUUCCCCCUUACUUUCACUACGCACACUACGAAUUCGUCCAGAUUCAUCACCAGAGUUCUCCAACAAGGAGUUGAAGUUGUAUCCCCUGAGAAUGUUUCCUUGCCAAGUCCAGUAAUCGAUACGAAAGAGGAUAAAGAGGUCAAUGGCCUCGUUCCUGGAGGCACCGUAUCAGAAGAUAAGACCUUAGUUUCUUCAACCAGAGUUAAGAAGAAGAGACCAGACGAAGAUAGUUUCGAGAAUAGAUUCAAGCUUCGAAAUGGAAGGGAGGUAUUUGAAGAAAAAGCCUACCUCGUGGGUGUUGAGCAGAAAGGUGUUAAAGUGAAUUCUUUUGGUAUUGAGGAAUCGCUUAAGGAAUUGGCUCAGCUUGCUGAUACUGCUGGCCUGAUGGUUGUUGGCUCCACUUAUCAAAAACUGAGUACUCCAAACCCAAGGACAUAUAUUGGAUCUGGGAAAGUUGCAGAAAUUAAGAGUGCAAUACAUGCAAUGGAUAUUGAGACUGUCAUAUUUGAUGAUGAGCUUUCUCCAGGGCAACUGCGCAACUUGGAAAAGACUUUUGGUGGAGAUGUUAGAGUAUGCGAUCGCACUGCCCUUAUCCUGGAUAUCUUUGACCAGCGAGCAGCAACACAUGAAGCAUCUUUGCAGGUUGCAUUGGCACAAAUGGAAUACCAGUUACCUCGAUUAACUAAAAUGUGGACUCAUCUUGAGCGCCAAGCAGGAGGAAAGGUCAAGGGUAUGGGUGAGAAACAAAUUGAAGUGGACAAGCGUAUCCUACGCACUCAAAUUGGUGUUCUUAAAAAAGAGCUAGAAUCUGUUAGAAAACAUAGAAAGCAGUACAGGAACAGACGUGUUUCUGUACCUGUCCCUGUAGUAUCUUUGGUUGGCUAUACAAAUGCUGGAAAGAGCACACUUUUAAAUCAGUUGACUGGAGCUGAUGUUCUUGCUGAAGAUCGUUUAUUUGCGACCCUUGAUCCAACCACAAGAAGGGUUCAGAUGAAGAAUGGGAAUGAGUUUCUUCUCACAGAUACUGUUGGUUUCAUCCAGAAGUUGCCAACUACACUGGUUGCUGCCUUCAGAGCAACAUUGGAGGAGAUAUCAGAAUCAUCGCUUUUGGUUCAUGUGGUAGACAUCAGUCAUCCACUAGCAGAGCAACAGAUAGAUGCAGUGGACAGAGUUCUGUCAGAACUGGAUGUGUCAUCAAUUCCAAAGUUGAUGGUUUGGAAUAAGGUUGAUAGGGUUGGUGAUCCUGCAAAAAUAAAAUUGGAAGCAGAGAAAAGGCAAGAUAUUGUUUGCAUAUCUGCUUUAAAUGGUGAUGGCCUGCAAGAUUUCUGCAUUGCAGUUCAGGAAAUAUUGAAGGAUUCUAUGGUAUGGGUGGAAGCUUUGAUCCCAUUUGAGAAAGGCGAUCUUCUCAGUACCAUUCACCAGGUUGGAAUGGUAGAUAGAACUGAAUAUGUGGAGAAUGGGACAUUGGUCAAGGCAUAUGUCCCUCUUCGUUUUGCAAGACUGCUCACUCCUAUGAGACAGCUUUGUAAAGCUUAACUUCUAACCAUAUGUGUGGACCAUUCUUCAUCUUGUAUGUAUGCAUUUACGUAUCAUCUAGCUGGCAAAAAUCCUUUUUUUUUUUUCCU
rnacentral:misc_RNA from 1 species